rnacentral:misc_RNA from 1 species
AAGUCGUAACAAGGUUUCCGUAGGUGAACCUGCGGAAGGAUCAUUAACACGUAUCCACGUAUCAACCAACCGAGAACCGUUUUCAACUCUCCCUCCAAUGGAUCAUGAGUGGGCCGACUACAAUGACAGCAUGAAGGGCUCCUCGGAGCGCAUUGAGUUCGCAUAAAGCUGAGCUUAAACAACAAGCCAGACCACUGUAUUUCAUAGGAGGCAACUUCUUCACUGCCGGUGAACCUUCUCUCUAUCGUACGCAGUGAGGAUAAUUAAUUUACACGAUACACACCACUUUUUUGCUAGUUGACUUUUAUCUGUCGGUCAGUGCGCAAGCAAUGGCUCACACGUUUAUUUAUUUGAACGUUAAAAAUACAACUCUUAGCAAUGGAUAUCUUGGUUCUC